AACGAACGCUGGCGGCGUGGAUAAGACAUGCAAGUCGAGCGCUGAUUACAGGGUAGCAAUAUUCUGUAGUUGGAGCGGCGCAAGGGUGCGUAACACGUGGGUAAUCUGCCAUGAAGUUUGGAAUAACUCGCUGAAAGGCGAGCUAAUGCCGGAUGUGAAAGCUGGGAGGCAUCUCUUGGUUUUCAAAGCUGGGGACCGUAAGGCCUGGCGCUUCAUGAUGAGCCCGCGGCCUAUCAGCUAGUUGGUAAGGUAACGGCUUACCAAGGCUAAGACGGGUAGCUGGUCUGAGAGGACGACCAGCCACACUGGAACUGAGACACGGUCCAGACACCUACGGGUGGCAGCAGUCGAGAAUUUUUCACAAUGGGCGCAAGCCUGAUGGAGCGACGCCGCGUGGGGGAUGAAUGGCUUCGGGCCCGUAAACCCCUGUCAUUUGCGAUCAACCGUUGUGUUUAAGAGAUGACAACCUGAUAGUAGCGAAAGAGGAAGGGACGGCUAAC
rnacentral:rRNA from 1 species